rnacentral:rRNA from 1 species
GAUGAACGCUGGCGGCGUGCCUAAUACAUGCAAGUCGAGCGAACAGACGAGGAGCUUGCUCCUCUGACGUUAGCGGCGGACGGGUGAGUAACACGUGGAUAACCUACCUAUAAGACUGGGAUAACUUCGGGAAACCGGAGCUAAUACCGGAUAAUAUAUUGAACCGCAUGGUUCAAUAGUGAAAGGCGGUUUUGCUGUCACUUAUAGAUGGAUCCGCGCCGCAUUAGCUAGUUGGUAAGGUAACGGCUUACCAAGGCGACGAUGCGUAGCCGACCUGAGAGGGGGAUCGGCCCCCCUGGAACUGGAACACGGUCCAGCACCCUACGGGAGGCAGCAGUAGGGAAUCUUCCGAAAUGGGGGAAAGCCUGACGGAGCAACGCCGCGUGAGAGAAGAAGGUCUUCGGAUCGUAAAACUCUUUUAUUAGGGAAAAACAAAUGUGUAAGUACCUAUCCCCGUUUUGACGGUACCUAAUCAAAAAGCCCCGGCUAACUACGU